CUUCCAACAAGAAAGAGAAAUUCAAAAAGAAAAGAAGGUGCAGUGUGAGGAGGCUGCUCCGGGCAGGGCCGCUGUCUGCGCCCCGGCAGCCCCGGGCCAGAGCGGAGGCUGCUGACCGCAGACCUCCCUGGCGGUGGAGCCUCACUGCUGUUGGUUCUGACGGGAACCUGCGCCCUCCCGCCUCCCUCUACAUGCUGGUUCCUGGCUGUCCUGGCCGACCUGGCCAGAGAGCGAAGCAGUUUCCGGUGCCUUGCGACACGCCUCGGGCGCCGCGGCCUUCUCCUUCCUGCCCUGGACAGGCCUUUGGCACCUGCUAGGCAGCAUGGGGACCCGUUUCGUCCGCAGCCACCCCACACGCACCUCACUUACCAAGUUUCCUUACGCAACUCUCCCAACUGGCAUCGGAGUGGCCGCCUCUUCCCCGCCUUCCGGCCCUCCCUGGGGCCGGUUUUCAGCCCGGCCUUCCCUGGGCCUGCGAGGCAGCAUGUGCUCGUUAAGGCCAUAAGGUCAGCUUGGCAAUCAGACCUGUAGAAUGGGAAGGUCUGCGGCCUGCCAUGGUCAGCCGGCCGCAGCGGAGGCAGGUCUGCGUCCCAGAGCAGGAGAGCGGCCUUCCCUCCCUAUUAGUGAGUCAAGUACCAACGCCAGAGGGAAACCUGGGCGGCAAGGGCUCGUCGGUGUGCAGAGAAGGCGGUGAGCCGUUCUGCAUGGGGUCCUCGUGCUGCUGCCACAAACCACCGCCAGCGCGGCUCACACAGCACCAACCCGCGCUCCCGCCCGGUCCGUCCGCGGCCAGGCUGGCGGCUCGGCGCUGACCGGGCGUGGGCAGUGCUGGUCCUCCCGGAGGCUCCGGGCAGAACGCUUCCUACCUUUCCCAGCCGCACAGCGUGUCCUCCCCGCGGCCGCCCGACCACCCGCCUGCACGCGGCUUUCCUGCACGCGGCGGGGCCUUCCCCGCCUGGCCCCUCUCCCAGGGCCCCAUGAUGAACCCUGAAAAUCCCUCAUUUCACCACAUCUGAGCCCCAGGGGUAAUCCCCGUGGGUGCCAGGGACUGAGGGGCGUGUUUAGGCCGGUCCUCAGCUUCCAUGGCUCCCCAGUCCUGCGGCCGCGCUGUGUGCCUCGUGGCCUGCGCAGCAGGCGGGGUCAGCGUGGCCGGGCUGUGGGCACAGCACCCAGGGCUUGGGGCGCCUCCACGGGGCAGGCCAGGGGCGCGUGGCGCUUCCGAGGUCCGCGGGAGAGGGUGCGUUUUGUGUUCAGUGCAGAGGAAAUCCCAGCUGUGGUGGAGGCUUUCUUCCAGCCUUCCUUCCGCUCCCUCCUCCUCGCCCUGGCUGUCAGCGGGACCUUGGGCAGGGAUGGGGAUGCCAAGGGCCCAGGACACCGAGGGCCGCCCACUCCCACCAACCUCCCACAGAACCCGGAGCGGGUGGGAGGGCAGCGGGAAGCGGGUCCCCUUGUGCCACUCUGCCCCGGGGCGCCCAGCCCAGCCCACCCGCUCCUCCAGCCGCAAGCCUUCCCUCCCUGGGCCCACUGUCUCCCCUGAGGGGAUGGGUGUCCUCCUCCCUCAGCCUUGCCCUUGCCCUUCACCUGGGACAGCCAGUGCCGGGGCAUGGCUGCGCUACAGGGCGCAGGCAGCAUGCACGGUGCGGGUGGGAGGGUGGAGAACCCAGUCCUCGGAGGGGAGUCCCGGUGCUCCCGGGGGCACUGUCCACCCCAGCGCUCUGCGCCCAGCUCCCGCUCAGUGCCCCAGGGUAGCGGGGGGGGGACGUGGCUCGCUUUCCAGCCUGGGCCCCGCUGAGAGAGAAGAACCCAGAUCAUGACGACCUCCAUGCACUCCCGCUGCCUUAGUGCCAGUCUUCCUCCUGGCCCAGAGCUGGGGUGCCGCCCCACCGUGAGCCUCCCCCUUCCCCCUCGCCAAGCCGCUCCAUCUCUGUGACAGGAGGCGGCAGAGACCCCUGGGCCGUCCGCGCCCAGAGCCAGCCCUCAGCACCGCCCCUCGCGGAGGCCGCCCGCCUCGCAGAGACACGGAGACUCCCCUGCAGCGCGGUGCCCACCACCCAGUGAGCUGCCCCAGCGCUCCUGCUGGAAACAGCCACAGUAGCUGAGUUGUUAAAUGGCCUUUGGACUCCUGAGAAAGGGGGCUUAUUAAAAAGUGGUCCCUGACCCCCAGCCAGCCCAGGCUGCGCGGGAGGAUCGCCCCUGGCGCUGAGCCCAGGCCCCAGCGCUGCCCUGGGGGCUGGCAGUCGCCGCCCGCUCCCUGGGGCUGAGUCUGGCUCCUGCAGGGAGAGAAGCAAGUGCUGGACGGACUCCCGGGCUGACACACUGAAGGCGUCAGACAGAGACAGCGGCGGCUCCUGCGGCCCAGGCCCCGCGGGGCUCAGACUCGGUUUCCUGCGGGCUCAGCGCGGCCACAGCCACUCGUCACUGCCGGCACCUGAGAGCCCACCUUCCCCAGAGGGACAGGACCGCAACAAAGAUGUACCGUGACGCACCACGAAAGGCGGGCGCACCCGCACCGUGAGGGGGCACUGACAACGGAUCGCGAUGACUGGCUCCGGCGUCUCGGUUCAGAGCCUCUGGCGGCCCGGGCCCACUUCCAGGGCCGGCUGCACACCACCCCGCCCCCUCCUUUUAGUGUCUACAUCCCAGCAACUCAGGGCAUCUGCUUCUCGGAGCCUGCGAGUCCGGCAGGUGGCAGACGGGCUCUACCCGACCCCGGUCCAUGCCUCUCCCGCUCACCCACCCUAGCUCUGCCUCAGAGAUGAGGACCCCGACGCCCUCCUGGACACUAGUCAGUGACAAAGUGACUAAAAGGUCACUGCUGGGCUCCCACAGGCAGGCGUGCCCAGCCGCCGCCUCCUCGCCUGUCCCCGAGGGGUCAGUCCUGGGAAGGGCACUGAGGAACCCCAGUCCCAGCCUGUCCCGUAGCCCUGCUGCGCUGGGGGGUGUGCUGGCUUCUCUAGGAUCCAGCCAGCGGGGUUGGUCCUCUGUGGGUCUGAGCCCCGAGCUGGGAGCUGGGCUCCGCAGGGCAGGGAAGCAGAGGAGCCCGCCAAGCCCCGCCUCCCCCCCCCCCAACAAGACAAGCUGUUGGUCAAGCUUUGGGGGCAUCUUUGGCCAAAGGUGAGUGGAGCUAAGAGAACACAUCGCUGGCGCUCAUUAGACCAUCGUGUGCUUUGCUCUCGUGGAGGGUCACAGCUCCGCAGACCGUGGGCAGGACGAGGCCGCGUGUGCUUUGCUCUCGUGGAGGGUCACAGCUCCGCAGACCGUGGGCAGGACGAGGCCGAGACUGGCACUGGUCCCCCGUGAGGAGCUGCCUGGGGGUGCAGCCCCUCCCACAGCACCCGCGCCUGCUGUGUGACAACAGUUCCGAAGAAGCAGAUGGAGAAAAGCACUUCCAAACCCAGCAGGUGCCCCUGGGGCUGCCCGGUCCCCGCAGCUGUGCGGCCGGCGGUGCGGAGGGCUCGCCUCUCCGUGGAGCUGUCCUGGGCCCAGGCCCGCGUGGGCUCCCAGCAGCUUCAGAGCCGCAGCGUGGAUUCUGCCGCUGAGAGACGAGGCCGCGGUGCUGGCUGCUCUCCUCGCAGCCACUCACCGCCAGUCAGUGCCCGGCUCCAUCAUGCACUGGGUCCCCGGGACUAAGCCCUCAUCCCGCCGCCCUGCGCCUUCAGUGCUGUAUGUGCUGGCAGCCCCUUCUCAGCGAGGGACGCUGAGGUGAGCAGACAUCGAGGAAGCUGUCGAAGGAGCACAGGGCUCUCCGCGUGUCUCCUUCCCCGCAACCAAAAAGCAGGCAAGCUGGGCCCCAGCUGCUGCCUCACAAUGUGGCCUGAGCUGGGACUCAGGCCUUCGCAGGGAAAAUCAGUUACAGUGAGGCCGCUAGGGUGGGCCUGGUGCGAUGUCCAGAGGAGCGGUCUGGACCAAGACAGCAGGAGGGGAGGCGCUGUGAGAGGAGAGGCUGCUGCAGCCCCGGCUCCGAGGGUGCUGGACACCCAGAGGCGGGAAGGCCGCAGGGUCCUGCGCUGGAGCGGUCCGGGGGGGCUGACCCCGCCAUCGGGGACAUCAGCCUCCAGCGCUGAGACACAAUAAGCCGCACAGAGAGUUGGGGUCAGAGCUAAGUCUCUGGUGCGGAGCCCGGGCUCCUCACCCCACUGCACAGGUGGCAGGGGGGACAGUGCAGCUCAGCACCAGCACCCGGGCAGCUCGCGGUCCUGGGGGUGGAGGUGGUUAGCUGAGAACUCCACAAAGAUGGAAUAGGCUCCAUUUACCAGCUCCUAUUAAAUAUUCCGAGAAUCCUGGCCGGUGUGGCUCAGUGGGUAGAGCAUCAUCCCGUGCACCAGGAGGUUGCCCAUUCGAUUCCUUGUCAGGGCACACGCCCGUGUCACAGGCUGGAUCACUGGUAGGGGGCGGCCAGGAGGCAGCCAAUCAAUGAUUCUCUCUCAUCAUUGAUGUUUCUAUCCCUCUCUGCCUCUUCCUUCCUCUCUCUCUAAAAAUCAAUAAAAAAUCUUUUAAAAAAAUA